rnacentral:rRNA from 1 species
CACGGAACUUAGCAGAGAUGNUUUGGUGCCUUCGGGAACUCUGAGACAGGUGCUGCAUGGCUGUCGUCAGCUCGUGUUGUGAAAUGUUGGGUUAAGUCCCGCAACGAGCGCAACCCUUAUCCUUUGUUGCCAGCGGUCCGGCCGGGAACUCAAAGGAGACUGCCAGUGAUAAACUGGAGGAAGGUGGGGAUGACGUCAAGUCAUCAUGGCCCUUACGAGUAGGGCUACACACGUGCUACAAUGGCGCAUACAAAGAGAAGCGACCUCGCGAGAGCAAGCGGACCUCAUAAAGUGCGUCGUANUCCGGAUUGGAGUCUGCAACUCGACUCCAUGAAGUCGGAAUCGCUAGUAAUCGUAGAUCAGAAUGCUACGGUGAAUACGUUCCCGGGUCUUGUACACACCG